GACGAAUGCUGGCGGCGUGCUUAACACAUGCAAGUCGAACGGUGAACAGGAGCUUGCUCCUGGGAUCAGUGGCGAACGGGUGAGUAACACGUGGGCAACCUGCCCCUCACUCUGGGAUAACUCCGGGAAACCGGGGCUAAUACCGGAUACGACCUGGAGCGACAUCUCUCCAGGUGGAAAGAACUUCGGUGAGGGAUGGGCCCGCGGCCUAUCAGCUAGUUGGUGGGGUAACGGCCUACCAAGGCGACGACGGGUAGCCGGCCUGAGAGGGCGACCGGCCACACUGGGACUGAGACACGGCCCAGACUCCUACGGGAGGCAGCAGUGGGGAAUAUUGCGCAAUGGGCGAAAGCCUGACGCAGCGACGCCGCGUGAGGGACGACGGCCUUCGGGUUGUAAACCUCUUUCAGCAGGGACGAAGCGAAAGUGACGGUACCUGCAGAAGAAGCACCGGCUAACUACGUGCCAGCCGCCGCCGUAAGAC
rnacentral:rRNA from 1 species